rnacentral:lncRNA from 1 species
AUGAAUAUUAGGCCCAUAUACAUUCAUAAGCAACCAUCAAAAAUGAGAAAAAGGACACUAGAAAAUCAUUCUAAAAAAUCGAUCAUUGAUGAUAAUCUGAGAACAAAGCACUACUGAUGGGUCCCAAAUUGCCCAAAGGCCACCAGAAAAACCCACAACAUCCACCCCACAAAACAUAACAGAUUUCAACCCCCCAAAUUCUCUAACAAUACUAAUAGUAGGACCAGGCAUUUUAGUUUCUUGUAAUAAAAUAAUAUCAAGUCUAAACUUAUUAACCAAAAGUUUUAGUUCCUACUUACGUUUAGCACUACCAAGUCCCCUAACAUUCCAGGAUAAAAUUAUUAUGGAACGAAAGAAGAGCGGCCCUCAUUAGCUGCCAACAACGAUCCAUUAGUAUAAAAUUGGGCACUAGGCCCCUGGAAAUCAUCAUCAUCGCCUGAAAGAUUAAGCACCUUACCUGUGAAGGGCUUACAAGUUGUCUUGGGUACAGAACGAGCCGCCACACGAGCCGACCAACGAAUUGGCUUGGAUGCAGGUUCCUUUCCCUUGCUUGUCACAGAAUUACUAGCAAGAUUUUUAUCUUUAACCUCCUCACACCCAUUAGCAGAGACACCUGCUGCAACCUUCACCUUGGCCCUUGCUUUCUUCACAUUAUCUCUAAUGACAUCAAACGCCACUCGGAAGGUGGUCGUCAUCCAUUCCACCUAAUAGAUUCUGAAGGUGGUGGUCAUCCAAAACAUCAUCACCAAUCCCUUCAGCAGGCAUAAUAUUGAGAGGAGGGACAAAAUCAACCUCUUCUUCUGACCACCCAUCAUCAGCAUCAGGCUGGAAACUCACAUGAUUUUCUUUCUCUUCAACCAUAACAAGUGGGAGUCCCUAUUCCUCAAGAGGAGUGUGAGGAACCACAUUCCCAACAUUCUCAUGAGCAGCUUUCCUGAAUGGUAGGAACCUAGUAGCCAUUGUUCUACAUGAAAGGACGAUGAAAUGCAAGAGUGAGUCCUGAUCCCCCUUACGCACCAGCCCGACGAGGUUUAACUGAUCAGCAUCCUUCAGCACCGAGUUGCAAAAGUUGAUCUUCUGAUCUUCAUCCACCACCCUGUCAAGCACCGUUAACACAGGGAGAGACGAAACAUCGAAAUCAACUUUACCUUGAGUAGCCUUCUUUAGUACUACCCCUUCACCAUCCAACUUGCCAAUCACAUUAACUGCAGGAUAUGGAGUACCCAUAAACAUCAAUCUUGGUUCUCUCUCCUGCCAUUCUUUUCCCCUUGUCAACUGAUAAAAUUU